AGAGCGACCGCCAGAGGCUGCCGAUCCGGAGCAGUUGAUGGCCACCGCGGCCGCACGGGCGAGGGACGCAAGAACGAUGUGGUGACCUUCUUCGAUGUGUGCUAUUUUGUCUCUCUUCCUUGCGUCUCAUGCUUUGAUUUGGGUGUUCUUUGGUUUGUUCAUAUUAUCACUACGUUCUCGAGUGACUAAUCAGUGCUGCUAGAAUAUUAGAAAGAUGUGCGUAUAGAGUUUUGGCUUGUUCUUCUUCAUUGAUGCAGGUGUGUAAGGAAUUGGUUCGAAACUUCGAAUAAUGAUUUUCUGUACAACCUAUCUGCCUGAGUCCCAUGCAUUGAUUUUUGCAACAUUGCAAAGAUCUAUCUCUAUUUCCUGUUGAUGAGAGAGGAACACGAAUAUUAGUUGUUCAGUACUUCAUGCAAUGAUACAACUACAAUCUGCAGCAUACUACUUGGCCUUGCAUGUAGUCUGAAAAUGAUUCCCGGCCUGUAUAUUUGCCUAUGGAGGCAUGCAAGAUUGUUGAAGGGCAAAUGUACUCUAAGAAGCUGAAUGAUAAACCAGGUUACCAACAUAUUUAGAGCUUCCUUUUGGGAUUUGUGCAGGCCAUGGUCUGGAGGACAUGUCCGAUUCACUAACUCAAUUUCAAGGAAACAGUGGAAAGGCAGAAAAAGGAAACCACAUGGAUUUAGAAAUUUCAGCAUUGUAGAGCUCAGUUGAAAAGGAAAACGAGAUUUAUAACAAUCAACUAGAGUGGUGAUUCGAUUUUUGACAAUUGGUACUUUGGUUGUGUGGUCGAUGAAGACAUGAGAUUGAUUUAGAUGGGGCAGUAGGUUUGCUCGGAGAGGAGGUGAGAAGGACGGAGAUAGAAGAAGAACCUUGAGAUGAUAGUGAUAUUGUUGACUCAAUACUUUAUUGGCUCUACUUUGUGUCGAUCUUUCAGGUGCAUGAAUAGUAAUUUGUGCAAAACUACGCUUUCCCUUGUCAUUUGAUAAUUGUUUUUCUUUAUGGUGCUCAUGACAUAUUUUUUUAUCUACA